rnacentral:lncRNA from 1 species
GUUCACUGUAGACCUUUGUAAGCCUGUGUCCUUUCCUUUUAUCUACCCCUGCCUCCUUUGUCUUCCUAGGAGCACAUUUGAGCUUCUACUCGAAUCUACAUCUCCUGAAUUGCAAUUCUUGAGACCCCCAAAUAAACUUUUUGGUUCUUUUGCAGUUUAUGCCUCUUAUUUGCUGACUUUACAUGGUGACAGAAGUGGGAUCCCUAGCUACUGACCUUCAAUUCUGGUGCCACUUCACAGACACAAGCAAGGUGCCUGCAAAGAAUCUUUUGUGCUCUGUCGUCUCCUCCUGGUGGCUCUGGUUCCUGGUGAUUGGUUGCAGACAAUGCUACAGGCAUCAGGAAUGGCGGAGCCAAGAGACGGGAAGUCAUGGGUGACUGACACACCCUGUGGAAGAGAACCACCUGCCCAACACGAAACCCACCUUGGCCUGUAAGGUUUCUCAAGAACUUGCUCCCAGAAAAAACCUGGAUGGAGAACAAAACAGGUAAGUGCCCAAGUGAGAAAUCUACAAAGCUCCUCUCCCCAAAAAUCACCUCUUCCCCAUCAGUUGUGGGACCUAUCAUUUUACCAACGGGGUUCCGUUCUUUCAAGAGUCUCUUAUUUAAGUAGGACUAUCUGUGGACGAGAGGGAGAAGGGACACUGGGAAGUGUCCUCAUUAGCAGCAUCCAGCCUCGCGUUUCCUCUACCUCCCUGAGCAAAAGGAAACAGGAAGCAAAGUCUAGUCUUGAAUGUUCCAAAGCCUUAUGAUGUUUACCAUUCCCCCCAGGAGAGGAAGGUGAGGGCCGGAAAUCUCUCUGCAAAGAAGAUACUUUUUUUUUUUUUAAUUCAAUGAAGUGACGCACAGACACAGCAACACAACUUCUCUCUGCUUAUAAGUUGUUAAGAGUGAUGAUAGUCUCAGUCUAUUUUAGUCCAGGGAAAUCCGAACUCCUUUAGCCGCAAUGGCCCCCAAGGGGCGCAUGUGCAUCUGUGGUUCAGGGUGUCCAGGAGGAGACAGCCUCUCCUUUUGGAGCAAAAAGCAUAGUCAACCGGUGGCGGGACAGAGGCAAAAGCUCUAGGGCAAGGAAAUCUGGGGGUUUGUGUCAAAGCUCCACCAAUCAGGAGCUUCAAGCUAAGAUGGGGAGGCUGGAAAGAUGGAAGUUGGCAUGGGAAUCCUGGUAUGGACAAGAAAUUCCUCCUGGGUCAAAGGCAGGAGGAUGUCCAGGAAGGGAGAAGGGCGGGUCAUGGAUGGACCGAGUUUGCUUGGAGUCCCAUGAGAAAAGGGGAAGCGAGAGCUCACCACCUUGUGGCCCCCAGCUUCCUGGUGUGCGGCUCUGGCGGCAGGUGUGGGGCUCUAGUCUCUGAAAGUAUUGGGAGAGGGAAGGAGAAACUGGCGUCCCAGGCUCCCAGGGG